UGUAAUAUCUGUGGAAAGGAAACAGAGGACGAGUACCAUGCUACGGUCGCAUGCACCAAGGCCAGGGCGCUCCGCAUGGAGAUGAGACAGGUCUGGGACCUGCCGGCAGAAGAGAAGUUCAAAUAUACAGGGGUGAAUUGGCUACAACUGCUGCUGGACACAUGCAGUAUGGACAUACGGCAGAAAAUCAUGCUCGUGCUGUGGCGUGCAUGGUGGCUACGUGAGGACUGUGUUCAUGCAAAAGGAAGAGCGACGAUUGGGGCUUCAGUCCAAUUCUUAGUUAAAUACCACAAUGAACUGGGCGUUGCAUACAUGGGCAACAACGAUCCAGAGGCAAAUAUGCAGGCCUCCAAUAUAGAUGUAGACCCAUGCUGUAGUCAGGCUCUAGCUGCAAGAGUUAAAGGGAAACAGCCGAUCUUCCCUGGGAUUACUGCUCCCCUGGCUGACAGUUCAAUCACAAACAGAAGCAACAACCCCAAUCAGGCCACAGCCUCAGAUAACGCUGCUGAGACUGAGUGGUGGCCGCCGCCAGACAGCGGGACCUGA
rnacentral:rRNA from 1 species